CUUGGUCAUUUAGAGGAAGUAAAUGUCGUGACCAUGUUUCCGAUAGGUGAACCUGACGGAAGGAUCAUUCAUAAUCAAGUGUUUUUAUGGCACUUUAAAAAUCCAUAUACCACCUUGUGUGCAAUGUCAUCUCACUGGAAGGUCACGGCUGUAAAAAUCCGGCGGCCAACCUAUUGGGAUUUAUAUCUACUCAGAACUUUAGGUGAUUUUGUCUGAAACAUAUUAUGAAUAACUUAAUUCAAAAUACAACUUUCAACAACGGAUCUCUUGGCUCUCGCAUCGAUGAAGAACGCAGCGAGAUGCGAUACGUAAUGUGAAUUGCAGAAUUCAGUGAAUCAUCGAAUCUCUGACGCAUAUUGCGCUCUCUGGUAUUCCGAGAGAGCAUGCUUGUUUGAGUAUCAGUAAACACCUCAACUCCUUUUUCUUUUUUGAAAUUGGAGCUGGACUUGAGAUGAUCCCAACGCUUUCUUCCAAGAAAGUGGCGGGUUGCUUGAAAUGCAGGUGCAGCUGAACUUUUCUCUGAGCUAUAAGCAUAUCUAUUUAGUUCUGCCUAAAAAACAGAUUAUUACCUUGCUGCAGCUAACAUAAAGGAGACUAGUUCUUGUGCUGACUGAUGCAGGUAUUCACAGAGACAGCUUCGGCUGACUUGUAAACUCGAUCUCAAAUCAAGUAAGACUGCCCGCUGAACUUAAGCAUAUCAAUA
rnacentral:rRNA from 1 species